rnacentral:lncRNA from 1 species
AGGCUGGAGUGCAAUGGCACAAUCUCGACUCACUGCAACCUCUGCCUCCUGGGUUCAAGAGAUGCUCCUGCCUCAGCCUCCUGAGUAGCUGGGAUUACAGGCAUGUGCCACCACACCCGGCUACUUUUUGUAUUUUUAGUAGAGACGGGGUUUCUCCAUGUUGGCCAGACUGAUCUGGAACUCAUCAGCAUGGUCAGGAUACAAAACAGGCAGAAAAACAUGAAUUAGCUAGACUGGCUUAGCCUCCCAGCCUACAUCUUUCUCCUGUGCUUGUUGCUUCCUGCCCUCAAACAUUGGACCCCAAGUUCUUCAGCUUUGAGACUCAGACUGGCUUCCUUGCUUCUCAGCUUGCAGAUGGCCUAUUGUGAGACCUUGUGAUCAUAUGAGUUAAUACUUCCUAAUAAACUCCCAUACACACACACACACACACACACACACACACACACACACAGACACUCUAUUAGUUCUGUCCUUCUAGGGAACCUUGACUAAUAGAGAUUUUGGCACCAGGAGUGGUUCUAGAGGAGCAAAAUAUUAAGGAUGGAGUUCUUUAGUUGGUUUUGGGGUUUCUGGAGUUGGC